rnacentral:rRNA from 1 species
GACGAACGCUGGCGGCGUGCUUAACACAUGCAAGUCGAACGGAAAGGCUCUGCUUUAGCUUGGUGCUCGAUUGGCGAACAGGUGCGUAACACGUGAGAAACCUGCCCUUGACUUUGGGCUAACUUCAGGAAACUGGGGCUAAUACUGGAUAAGAGCUCCUGCUGUAUGGUGGGGGUUGGAAAGUUUCGGCGGUUGGGGAUGGACUCGCGGCAUAUCAGCUCGUCGGUGGGGUAGUGGCUUACCAAGGCUUUGACGGGUAGCCGGCCUGAGAGGGUGACCGGCCACAGUGGUCCUCAGAUGCCACCCAGACUCCUACUGCAGGCAGCAGUGAGAAAUAUUCCACAAUGGGCCGAGGCAUUAUAGAAGAUCGCCGCGUGCGUAAUGUCGGCCUUCGGGUUGUAACCCGCUUUCGCCUGUGACGAACCGUCUGUGACGGUAAUGGGUAAAGAAGCACCGGCUAACUACGUG